rnacentral:lncRNA from 1 species
CAUUCCACCAGAAAAUCAGCAUGAAAAUGUCACGCUGAGUAAGAUUGCUCAGUACAGCUACUCUCUACAAGAGAGCCAGAAGGACAAACACUCUUUCCUCAGUCUCAGGAUCCUACUUGAUACUGUUGCAGAGAACCAUGGAGGGAGCAAUGGCUAUGUAAUAUUUCUUCUCCAUAAGAACUACCAACAUGUCCUCUACCUCCAAGCUUCUCUACAGAACUCCCCUUGAGCUGAGAGCUGCUUGCUGCCCUCCUCCUGAUGUGUUUUCUUUUCUUGUAUGGAUAGAUUGUGGUUUUUUGCAUACAUUUAAGUUUCUCCUUAGCAAACAAUUCCUUGAUGCUAAACAUUUGAAUAUUUCUGACCCUUGGUCAUGUGAUUCUCAGGCCUCUUGUGCUGAUUCACUGAUCUGGACAUCAGAGUGAAUGUUGCCAAGCACUCUGGGAGAUGAAGACUUUGAAAAGUCUCAUUUGUCACAUUC